AUUGAACGCUGGCGGCAGGCCUAACACAUGCAAGUCGAGCGGAUGAAGGUAGCUUGCUACCUGAUUCAGCGGCGGACGGGUGAGUAAUGCCUAGGAAUCUGCCUGGUAGUGGGGGACAACGUUUCGAAAGGAACGCUAAUACCGCAUACGUCCUACGGGAGAAAGUGGGGGAUCUUCGGCCCUCACGCUCUCAGAUGAGCCUAGGUAAGAUUAGCUAGUUGGUGAGGUAAAGGCUCACCAAGGAGACGAUCGUUAACUGGUCUGAGAGGAUGAUCAGUCACACUGGAACUGAGACACGGUCCAGACUCCUACGGGAGGCAGCAGUGUGGAAUAUUGGACAAUGGGCGAAAGCCUGAUCCAGCCAUGCCGCGUGUGUGAAGAAGGUCUUCGGAUUGUAAAGCACUUUAAGUUGGGAGGAAGGGCAGUAAGUUAAUACCUUGCUGUUUUGACGUUACCGACAGAAUAAGCACCGGCUAACUUCGUGCCAGCAGCCGCAGUAA
rnacentral:rRNA from 1 species